rnacentral:rRNA from 1 species
GGAGGAUUUAGCAGUAAAUUAAGAAUAGAGUGCUUAAUUGAACUAGGCCAUAAAGCACGCACACACCGCCCGUCACUCCCCUCAAAUAUAUUUAAGGAAUAACUUAACUAAAUGCCCUAACAUUUAUAUAGAGGGGAUAAGUCGUAACACGGUAAGUGUACUGGAAGGUGCACUUGGAUAAAU